rnacentral:rRNA from 1 species
GACGAACGCUGGCGGCGUGCUUAACACAUGCAAGUCGAACGGAAAGGCCUGCUUUCCCUUGUGGAUUGCGGGUACUCGAGUGGCGAACGGGUGAGUAACACGUGAGUGAUCUGCCCCCAAAUUGGGUAUAAGCCUGGGAAACUGGGUCUAAUUCCCGAUAGGACUGCAGGGUGGUGCCUGUGGUGGAAAACGAUUUUCUAGUGGUUGGGGAUGAGCUCGCGGCCUAUCAGCUUGUUGGUGGGGUAAUGGCCUACCAAGGCGGCGAAGGGUAGCCGGCCUGGGAGGGUGGACGGCCACAUUGGGACUGAGAUCCGGCCCAGACUCGUACGGGAGGCAGCAGUUGGGAAUAUUGCACAAUGGGCGGAAGCCUGAUGCAGCGACGCCGCGUGGGAGACGACGGCCUUCGGGUUGUAAACUCCUUUCGACCGCGAGGAAGCCACCUGGUUGGAAGGGUGGUGACGGUAGUGGUAGAAGAAGCACCGGCUAACUACGUG